rnacentral:rRNA from 1 species
CGAACCGUGCGAACGUUGUUCGGAAUCACUGGGCUUAAAGGGCGCGUAGGCGGUUGGUCAAGUCAGGGGUGAAAUCUUUCGGCUCAACCGGAAAACUGCCUUUGAUACUGACUGGCUGGAGGGAGAUAGGGGUUGCGGGAACUACCAGUGGAGCGGUGAAAUGCGUUGAUAUUGGUAGGAACGCCGGUGGCGAAAGCGCGCAACUGGAUCUCUUCUGACGCUGAGGCGCGAAAGCUAGGGGAGCAAACGGGAUUAGAUACCCCGGUAGUCCUAGCCUUAAACGAUGAGAACUAGGUUGUGGACUUGACAUGGGUUCACAGCCGAAGCAAAAGUGCUAAGUUCUCCGCCUGGGGAUAUGGUCGCAAGGCUG